rnacentral:rRNA from 1 species
UAAGGAAUAUUGGUCAAUGGACGAAAGUCUGAACCAGCCAUCCCGCGUGCAGGAAGAAGGGGCUCUGCCUUGUAAACUGCUUUUGAAUGGGACGAAAGAGCUAUAUGCGUAUAGUGUUGACGGUACCAUUAGAAUAAGCACCGGCUAACUACGUGCCAGCAGCCGCGGUAAUACGUAGGGUGCAAGCGUUAAUCGGAAUUACUGGGCGUAAAGCGUGCGCAGGCGGUUAUGCAAGACAGGUGUGAAAUCCCCGGGCUUAACCUGGGAACUGCACUUGUGACUGCAUAGCUGGAGUACGGCAGAGGGGGAUGGAAUUCCGCGUGUAGCAGUGAAAUGCGUAGAUAUGCGGAGGAACACCGAUGGCGAAGGCAGUCCCCUGGGCCUGUACUGACGCUCAUGCACGAAAGCGUGGGGAGCAAACAGGAUUAGAUACCCACGUAGUCCCUGAGCGGGCUGGCAAGGCGCAU